rnacentral:rRNA from 1 species
GAUGAACGCUCGCUACAGGCUUAACACAUGCAAGUCGCGGGGCAGCAUGGGGGUUGCUUGCAAUCCCCGAUGGCGACCGGCGCACGGGUGCGUAACGCGUAUUCAACCUUCCCUUCACCACGGGAUAACCCGGCGAAAGUCGGACUAAUACCGUAUGUUGUCCAUUGACGGCAUCCGAUUUGGACGAAAUGCUUGGCUUUGAGGGAUGGGGAUGCGUCCGAUUAGCCAGACGGCGGGGUAACGGCCCACCGUGGCUACGAUCGGUAGGGGUUCUGAGAGGAAGGUCCCCCACACUGGAACUGAGACACGGUCCAGGCUCCUACGGGAGGCAGCAGUGAGGAAUAUUGGUCAAUGGGCGUAAGCCUGAACCAGCCAAGUAGCGUGCAGGAUGACGGCACUAUGGGUUGUAAACUGCUUUUAUGCGGGGAUAAAGUGGCCCACGUGUGGGCUUUUGCAGGUACCGCAUGAAUAAGGACCGGCUAAUUCCGUG